AAUGUAUGAUGAUAGCAGUUUCGGUCCCAAAUGAACGAACUGUGAUUAGAAUGAGAUCAUCUGAUGUU